AAAAAACACUAACACAAUAUCUGUCAUAAAGCAGACGCAAAGAUACCUUCAAUCAUCUCAAUUGGAAAUAAUAUCAUUAAAGCCUCGUUGUCGUAAUUACAUGCCAAUGUAAUUGAAAGUGUUUUCAAUAUUCUGUAUUGGAAAACGCAACCUUAACAUUUUUGUUUAUAAAAAUAUAAAAAAGUAUAAAAAGGACAAUGCAGACGCACAUCACAACUUUGUCAUUCUUUUUAAAUGGAAAAAUAUUAUUUUGCGUCUUUGUUCCAUAAAAUGCAUUUAAAUGAAAAAAUAAAAAUAUUUACUCGAGAGCGGAUUGUGGUACUUUACAACUGAGUAAAACAAUCUCUCAAAAUUAUGCAUUUUUCUUUUUUAAAAUAGAAAAAAAUAAAACAUUCGUGAGACGACAAAACACCUGCGAUGUUUAAAUUCCAGUGUUUAAUUGUUUGGUAUUAUUCUCACUGAGAAGUAUUUAAAAUGGAAAAACAAGUUUUCUCUAUUUUUUUUUUUCAUUUAUAUAAAACAUAUUUUAAUACCAAAAUAGAUGAUUACUAAGAUAGCGUGUAUGCAGUAAAGCUCGGUAUAAAUGUACCUAAACGUUAGGACACUGUUUAAUUUGUGUCAAACAUGUAUAUUUUAUACACAAAACCAACUAGUCAAACAAACCAAACCAAAUUUCAAACUUG
rnacentral:lncRNA from 1 species